GACAGAGGGUGCAACCGUUGUUCGGAAUUACUGGGCGUAAAGCGCGUGUAGGCGGCUCUGAAAGUCGGAUGUGAAAGCCCUGGGCUUAACCCGGAAAGGUCAGCCGAUACUGCGGGGCUAGAGUGCAGAAGGGGCAACUGGAAUUCUCGGUGUAGCGGUGAAAUGCGUAGAUAUCGAGAGGAACACCUGCGGCGAAGGCGGGUUGCUGGGCUGACACUGACGCUGAUGCGCGAAAGCUAGGGGAGCGAACGGG
rnacentral:rRNA from 1 species